AACGAACGCUGGCGGCGUGCUUAACACAUGCAAGUCGAACGGAAAGGCCCUGCGUUUGUGGGGUGCUCGAGUGGCGAACGGGUGAGUAACACGUGAGUAACCUGCCCUUGACUUUGGGAUAACUUCAGGAAACUGGGGCUAAUCCCGGAUAGGAGCUCCUCCUGCAUGGUGGGGGGUGGAAAGUUUCGGCGGGUGGGGAUGGACUCGCGGCUUAUCGGCUUGUUGGUGGGGUAGUGGCUUACCAAGGAUUUGACGGGUCGCCGGCCUGAGAGGGGGACCGGCGACAAUGGGACUGAGAUACGGACCAGACGCGUACGUGAGGCAGCAGGGGGGAAUAUUGCACAGUGGGCGGAAGCCUGAUGCAGCAACGCCGCGUGCGGGAUGACGGCCUUCGGGGUGUAAACCGCUUUCGCCUGUGACGAAGCGUGAGUGACGGUAAUGGGUAAAGAAGCACCGGCUAACUACGUG
rnacentral:rRNA from 1 species